GUCCCAAUUAGAAAAGGGUUUUUCACGUGAAAACAGAGAAGCGACUGGAAAGUGGAGAAAGGGAGAAGAAGAGGCUAGGGCUCAGGAGGAGAAUUCUCGAUUGUUGAAGGUCAAAGAAUCAAUUGCCGGAUUAACUCAGGUAAGGGGGGUUUAUCGUCGUUUAAUGGGUAUUAUGGGUUAACAUGUAAUGGGUAGUAAUAAGCCAUUGAAUUGACCCUAAUCAGGAUGAUGAAUGCUGAAAAUGGUGAUGAAUAAAUUA
rnacentral:lncRNA from 1 species